GCCAGGUAUGGUGGUUCACACCUAUAAUCCCAGCAGCUUGGGAGGCUGAGGCAGGAGGAUUGCAAGUUCAAAGCCAGCCUCAGCAACUUAGUGAGGUCAUGAGCAACUUAGCAAGACCCUGUCUCUA
rnacentral:sRNA from 1 species